UUCGCAUUGUGUCCUCUGCUCCGUUCUGACUGAAACAGACAGAUCCACAUCAAACCCUGAUUUCUGGAGCAAAACUGAGAGACGCGAGAAUGUUUUGUUAUCGUGUGGUUGUUUUGGCACUUUUGGUUGUCUUACUGCUAAAUGUUGCUCAAAAUGAGGCUGCAUCCUUCCCGUGGUCUUGCCUCAGUCUAAGUGGAGUAUGUAGAAAGGUUUGCCUCCCAACAGAGUUGUUCUUUGGACCUCUGGGCUGUGGGAAAGGCUCCCUGUGUUGCGUGUCUCACUUUCUAUGAGGAAAGCAUGUCUGGACUGAAGUCAGAGAUACCAGAUGACCUACCAAGCCUGACAGAGGAUGAGGCAAACAGAAAGCACUGUUGUGGAGGGUUGAAUUUAGCAUUCUAACACUAUGUAACAUGGCAGACUUUGUAAUAUUAAAUUAACGUCUUGUGUUAACUUGUUGGGUUUUGUUUUGGUUUGGUUUUUUUGCAGCUAAAUUAAGGGUGAAUUCUUACAAAAACAUUUUAGCUUGACUGUAUAUUUUUAGUAAGAAUGUGAUUCAAAUUUGAUCUGAAACAAGAAGUCUUCUAAUACUCUG